AGGUGAACAAAAUUUGGCACAGAGAGGUUAAGUGACGUAAUCAUGGUAGCACAGCCUAGGAGUGGCAGAAUCCAGAUUUGAACUCAGUUCUAUAGGCCUGCAAAGCUCAGGCUCCUCAUGACCACAGUAACCUAUAUACCAUAGCUGGUAGUCACAGGGAGACAGAAGAACGUUAAAUCAGUGUAGUCAAACAGGGAUGGAAACAUUGCUUCACUAGGAAAAGUUCCGUUUGUCUCCGAAUUUUCACUUGCCAAAGUAAGGUAAUGUGUAGUAUAUUUUAGGAUAAUUCUCUUUUAAAAUGAUCAAAUGCUACUAAAAAAGAAAAUGAAUUGAAACAAACAAGAGCAAAAUUUAACAAGUCAAUUUAAGAUCCAUUAAAUAUUUAUUCACAUCAUUGAGGAAGUUUGAAGUCAAUUGCAUUAAAAUAUCCCUAAGCUUUGAAGGAUCUCAGGUUUCCAAAAUCAUUUAGCUUUACCAUGACAUGAAGCCUAUUUUCCUAGCAGAUAUUUCAACUGCCUAUAAAAGUUACAAGGGAGAGAAAAACCUCACUCUGAGGAGGAGGAAAGCAAAACAAGAGAACAGCUCUAAUCCUGGCUCUGUUAAAAACUGUCCUAGUGGCCUUGAGCAGAUCCCUUAAAGAUGUGGGCCUCAGUUUCCUCAUCUACACCAAGAGAGGAAUAGACUUGUCUAGUACUUCUCUUGCUUUAAUGUGCACGUGACUCACCAGAGGAUCUCGGGAAAAUACAGGUUCCGAGUCAGCAGGUCUGGGGUGGGUCUGAGAUUCACCAUUUCUAUCACCCUCUCAGGGAUGACAACACUGCCGCUCUAGGGACUAGCUUUGUGUAGUGAGGGGCUCCAUCACCUCAGAUUCAACUCUAAAGCCGAGGUAUUAUAGUGAACCCCCAAUUGCUAGGUAAACAAGGAGUGUUGAUUUUCUCUUGAUAGGACAGUGAAAUUUCUCCAGCUGUAGCUUGUAUUGCUGUUCCUCACACUUGACCUUUUCUGUCUCAAACACAUUUCACGUGCCCUGAGUAUGGAGCUUGCAGGCUUCAGCGUUGCCUGUGUGAGGCUGUCCUAUGAGGCCGGAAGUGGGUAGCUGACGUGGAAGGCCAAUAAGCGUGUGCAUGAGUGGGACCAGAACAAAACCAGUGCUGACUUAGCAUCUUCACUUCAGAAGAAGCUUAUUGGUUUCAAGUCUCACCACUUCCCAUUCCCCUGAUAAGAAAGCCCAGAUGCUCCUGCCUUUGGCACCAGCCAAAAGACACAAGUCCAAAACCACAGGAGCCCAAGCCAGCCUCCUUUCCCUGCUCCCUCAAGCCACUUUAGAACACCUUGGGGACCUGCCCCACUCUCCCCGGAGAGAGACCAGAGCACAGCUUAUAUAAGCCGGAGAACUGAAAAGAAAAGAUGAAAUGCCUUUUAGCAGUCAGCGUGUGUGUAAGAGAAUGAGACUCUUCCUGAGAUUUCCUGUAAUUAUUUGGAAGGAAUGAGAAGUCGUCUGGAACCAGAGAAAGACCAUUUUGAGGCUGUCGUUCUUCCCGUAGGCAGGGGAGGCCUGAGAAGCUAUGGUUACAGUAAAUGGGCUGGUGAGGUCACUGGUCUUGGGACGCUUUCCUUUGGCGACAUGAAAGCCACCUUGGAGUUCAUGGAAAGAUGAUAUACUUCAAGUCAUGAGAAGAGCGAGGUGGUCAAAAUGUCAAAUACAAAAAACACGACUUCAGCAGAGGCCCUGAAGAUAAGCUUUGUGGAGCUGGACUGGACCAGGGAGAGCUGUGAGGAGAAUGUGGUCGUAGCCUGCUGAGCUGCUGGGGAAUGGCAAUGAAAAAGAAAGCAAGGCAGGGCUACAAACCAGACUGUGCAGAGAAAAAGCAGCAGGCUCUGGCAGCAGGUGGGAAGGAGGAGGGAGAGAGAGGCACGACUUUCCGGCAGCGUCCAUCUGUUGUCUUGUCGCUUGUCUGCCAGUUGAAUUUAGCCGGGUGACUUCUGAAAGCCAACUGCCCUUCACCUUCGAGCGUACUGUUGACAAACAAUAAGAGUACUUACAAGUGAAGAAGUGAAGAGCUGGCUUGAUCAAUUAGUGGUUCUUGAAGGAAAUAGGGCAGAGAACUUCCCAUUCGGAAACUCUCAAAAUAGAGACCAACCAUCACCUUCAUUGAAGGACCCCCCGGGCCCAAAGCCUUUUGUACUCAUGAUAAAUCCCUCCCUGCUGUGGUCUCUCAAUCCAAAGAUGAUCAGAGGAGACAGGAGAGGGGAGAACCAUUGCUUGGCACGUCCCCACUUAGAACAACUCCAGUGGUCCCUAGGUUUGGGCAUGGGCGCCCCUAUGGCUCCACAAAUGAGUUGGGUGCUGGAAUGAACUAUAACUGUUUUAAAACCAGUUGCUUGUAUCAGUUCAACCCAGUGGGCUCUGUUUUUAAUGGUAAUGGGUUUUGUUUGUUUGUUUUUAACUUUUUUGUUUUGUUUUCUUUUGACCAGAGUGCCUCUUCUGGUGUUCCAAGAGAAGCAUGCUUUGUUGAGGGAAACUUAGCCAGGUAGUUAGGACAAAGAGGUCAAUUUCCCUCCACCCUGACAUUUUCAAAGCCAGGUUUACUAGCCUUGGGCGAAUCAUUAAACUUUCUAGGCCUCUCUGCUCUCCUGUCUGCUGCCUGAAAGCCUGCUGGGUUUCCUCGGUGAAAGACCCACUCAAGUACAAAGAGUCAAGAUGUGAAAUCUUCCAAGCCUGGUGUGUCUGGUGCUUUCUGCAUGCUCUCAACUCUGCCCUUAAGUUAUUCAUUCAGAACGGUGUGCAAACUUACAGACAGGAACUCUUUUAGGCUUCAGGUGAGUGACAAGCCAUUGCACCCUAAAUCUGCACGCUCUCCUGUUCACAGGGCUCGACACAGAGAUGGGGAAGUGUGCAUUAGUGAUUGCAGGAGCUGCAUCUCUCUGGGAACAUUUUGCUUCUCUUUGUUUCACACCCAGGACACAACUUGUCAAAUUACUCAUCUGAUCUAUCCCAGUGUCUUCCUAUUUCAUUUUAUUUCAUUUUUUCUCAAAGACUGUAACCUACUUGACAGGAACCGCAUUUGUAAUUCAGAUAGGAAACUGCUUUCUCAGAUUGGUUAUUUUACCCCAUCUUUUUUUGUGUGAUAUAAUUGGCAUAUAACAUCGUGCAAGUUUAAAGUGUACAACGAGUUAAUUUGAUACAUUUAUAUAGAGUACUGCAACAUGAUUACCACUGUAACAUUUAUAUAUUGCAAUAUGAUUACCACCAUAGUGUUAGCUGACACCUCCAUCACAUAACAUAAUUAUCAGUUCAUUUUGUUUCACCCCAUCUUAAACCAGUGAAGAACUUGUUUUCAGGUAGCAAUUCAUAGGAGUGUUAAAGGUGGCUACAGCAUAAGCACAAGUCAAGAAGUGCUGGCAGGUACAUGGGUUAAUUGAUUUCGGUCCAUUUUAAAGGUCAGCGC
ensembl:lncRNA